UACGGAGAGGGCUAGCGUUAUUCGGAAUUAUUGGGCGUAAAGGGCAUGUAGGCUGAUUAGUAAGUUAAAAGUGAAAUCCCAAGGCUCAACCUUGGAAUUGCUUUUAAAACUGCUAAUCUAGAGAUUGAAAGAGGAUAGAGGAAUUCCUAGUGUAGAGGUGAAAUUCGUAAAUAUUAGGAGGAACACCAGUGGCGAAGGCGUCUAUCUGGUUCAAAUCUGACGCUAAAGUGCGAAGGCGUGGGUAGCAAACAGG
rnacentral:misc_RNA from 1 species